rnacentral:ncRNA from 1 species
UGGUUCUUUUGAAGCGGUAGCAGUAGAAAGUACUGCUGUGUCUCCGUACCGUACUAAGACCGCACCGUUAGCUUGCUUUGCUAAUUGCCCGACUUCGAUAGUUAAGGUUCGGCCAGCCCAUUCCAUUGAAAAUAAUUGUUUUUCUUGAUUCAUUCUACGAGUACUCCUCUCGUCCUCUUAAUCUUCGCCACUAUUUUAUAUUGUUGGCUUAUUUUUAUGUACUAAACGUGUUGUUAUUAGAAAAUUUA